UUAAAAGCCUACAGUGUGCCAGAAGGGAGGCAGACAGAAAGGGAAGGGGGUCGAAUAAGGACAAGACUGAGACCCAGACAAGAAGGAGGGAGUCCGAGGAACAUAUUCCCAGAUCAUUCCAGAGAAGAAGCCCACAUGGUCAUGACAGAGUGUUUUACGAUCCAACUUUCAUCAACAAAGGUUCUGGAACUAGUUAGCAUUAUGAUUUAUAAUUAAGAAGGUAGAAGAAAGCAACCAGAUGAUAGCUGCAUACUUGAUUGUCAAGCUCUGAUUUUGGGUCAACCUAAUCUAAAAAAGUGUCCUUCCACCCUUAAUAAAACUUAAGUAUUUGGGAGGAGCCAAGAUGGCA